GAAAGUGGGACUGGGGAGGAGACCGCAACACUCAAAUACCCAGAUCCCUGGGAGCUGCCAGCCAGGUGUUGAGGAGACCGCUUGCCUUUUUCAGCUCCAGGUGUGACGGUCUCGUGCCCCAGAGCCCUCCGGCUGCGGUGAAAUGUCGACAAUCCGGAAAUGGUUUGGACGGGAAGAUAAGGAGAGAGAGGA